AAAAGGCCCAUGGAGUUGGUGGAAUAAUCCUUUAAUUCAUGGCCACUUACUCAGCUGGGCCAGAGCGCUUUAAUUAGGUCAGGUGGCAAUGACCGACAGAUCUCAUCCACAUAAAAGGAGGAAAACGGCAUCGCCUGAUCUCGCUGCUUUCUCUUCCUUAACUCCGUCUGCUCCAGAAGUUCUGUGCGUCCAUGAAUCCACGUAAGUCCACCGACUCUGUUACCUUUCAUCUGAACUAUCUGUUGCGAGCGGGAGAGUGGGCUAUCAGUUAUUGUUUAUAGUUGUUAUCGCGGAGCGCGGCUAGGAGUGCACGCUUCAAACAUAUUGUGUAAUGUGAAUUGUAAAUGAUCAUACGGAUCCUCAUAGGCCAAUUAUGCAAUCGAUAUGUUUAAUAUGUAAUUAAAUUAAUUCCAUGUACACAUGAAGACCAAUUGAAAGGAUGAAAUGAGAAAUGUCAUUGUUUGCUAACUGAUCGACUUUGAUAUCAAACUAAAGGAGAUUAUAGAUUGAAUGACCAUUCACUGUUUGUAUUUAUUUCAUGAUUUAUGUGAAAUAGUUAAGAGCCUAAAUGACUCACAGGUGAUUACUAUUGACUUCUUAAUUAACUGGAUUCAUGAAUUCCCUAAUUAUGUUAAUAAUGAAUGAUUGUUAUGAUUUGAUCUUUGUGAUUAUGAAUUUGAUUGGAUACGUGUUAUUUUGUUUCCUUUGUUAUGCAGCACAGACUACUCAGUAAAUAUACCACUUUAUGGUUAAAGGAAUUCCUGCCUCAGUCUCAUCCAUUCUUCUGUCACCUGACACGUGACCACCUGUUCACCUUCACUGUCAGUCAUCCUACCUGUCCAGCUACCCACAUAGAUUCCACUAAUCUUUCAAUGGUCCUUCGAGACGGAUGAUGACUGAACCAAAGACAGGUGAAAUGGAGGAGGAGAGGGAAGAAUUGUCUCCACUGGAGGGAAGAGAGGAGGAGAGGGCAGCUGAGGGAAAGGUCUUGGAACAAAGGAAAUAUCCAGGAGCUAAGCCUAAAGCAACAAAGGCUUCAUCCUCAACCACCAGCAGCACUAGAAGAACCAGGCAAGCACCUGGUUAUCUUAAGGAUUAUGUGGUCGAGAUUUCGACAUCAAAGGGCAAGCCCACUAAAGCUCAAGGUGAUGAUGGAUCAACUGUACGUUUCAGCCAUCAACCAUCUCCUCUGAGUCAAGCACCGGAAACUGCGUUGGAGCAGGAAAGUGGUCUACAGGAAGAACCCAUGGAGGUGACUCCCACAGCACAGGUCAACCAGCUUCCUGAGGCAGGCUCCGCUCACUCCUUAACUAAAGGGAAAUCGUCGAGGCACUCUAGACGGAGUGGGAGUUCGACCAGUGGAUACCCCUUUGGAAGUGGCCAUGGCAGCCGCCAUUCACUAGCCCUCAGCGAUUCACAGACCGCUGUCCUACAAGAGAGGAUGAAACUAUUAGCUUUGGAGGAAAUUGAGCGUCAGAUUGAGGAGGAACGACAGGCUGAUGAACGAUGUCAUCUAUUGGAUGUGCAGGCCCGUAGUGCUCUACAGGAACGGGAAUUCAUUGCCAAGGACCUGGCACAACAGCGACGGCACCGUCAAGCCAGAAGGGAAUUGGAGGAGGCACGGAUGGUCUCAUCCUUCCUGGAGAGGAACGAACAGGGAGUUGACCUGACCACCCCUCCACAUGGACCUGACCUGUCUGCCUUUCUUUCCCAAUCUGCCCCUCUGGUACAGCAUGGCACACAGGCUCCGGGGUCAACAGCCAACAUGGAGCACGGGGGACAGGCCGCUCCACCAACGCCCUCUAGGCCAGUGACAGAAGUUAGCAUUCCUCCAUGUGGACAAAGCAUCACUCCUUCGCCUUUCCGCCAAUUACCAACCACGGCAAAUCGUUCCUCUCGUCCAGGGCCAGGCCAGUCCUCAAACAUCAGGUGGAAGGGCUCUCACCCAAUUCCGUCUGCCACCAAUGGAGGGUCUGGGACAGUAGGGGACCGGCCCAAUGAGGUCACAGUGGGCUCAUCAGAAGUCCCGGGUUCAUCUUUCACGCAACCAGAAGAGGGAGCCAAUAUUAUGAAACUUCUAGUAGCCUCAGCCUAUGGAAUUCCCAGACCCAAACUGCCAUACUUUGAGAGCGGAAAGGAGAGUGAAUUUGUCCUUUUGGAAAUGGCAUUGGAGAGCCUACUGGGUAUUCACAGUCAUCUCUCAGAACGCUACAAAUACCAAGUACUAAUGGAUCAUUUGCGGUUUCCUAGUGCAUACAGGCUGGCCCAAUCUUUUAUGCACUCCGCAACACCAUACACUGCAGCUCUCCAGGCCCUGAAGGCGAGAUAUGGUGAGCCACGCCAGUUGGUCCAGAAUGAACUAAGCAACAUCCUGAACACGUCUCCAAUUAAAAUGGGAGACCAUGCUGCCUUCCAAGAGUUCUCCCUGGCUGUCCAAUCCCUGACCUCAAUGCUCCAAUCCGUUGAAGGAGAAGAUGGGAACGAGCUGAAAUGUGGCUCCCACGUGGACAGGCUUCUUAGCAAGCUUCCAGUGUACCUCAGAGACAGUUUCAUUGAACAUUGUUUGAACAGGGGCAUCCUGAAAGAGGGCUCGAGAAGCACCUAUGCACUCAGAGACCUGGCCGCAUGGUUGGAGGUGAAGGCCAAGGCGAAGAGUAUCGCUCACCAGGCCACAAUCUCAGCCAUAGCCACCGGGGGAAGGAAGGAGUUUGAACGCCAGGGGGGACAGAAAAGACCAAAUCCCACUACCAUGUACUUAAAUAGUGAAGCUGGGGAGGAACCCGGGAAGACCCCUCUCAGGAGCAAGAACAUCAAAUUCCAGCCUUACUGCCCAUAUUGCAAUAGUAAGGGACACUUCCUUGGCUCAUGCCCCAGGGUAAAAAAGCUCACCCAAACUCAAUUGAAGGCCUGGAUCACUUCAGGCGAGCGAUGCUACAAGUGUGCCCGUAGCCAUAAGGCGGAGACCUGCACAUUGAGGAAACCCUGCAAUCGCUGUAAGGAAAUCCAUCUCACAGUGUUGCAUGAUGUAAUUCCCCAAGCACAGAAGGAGCAGAGUAUGCUCAUGGUAGGAGCUGCAAAGGAGCUGUACCUCGACCAGCAGAACCGGUCUCCAAGGGUCAUGUUGAAAGUGGUCAAGGUCACUCUGCAAAGUGAAGGGAGAAGCAUUGAUACAUUCGCCGUUCUAGAUGAUGGGUCAGAAAGAACGAUCAUUCUCACGGCGGCCACCCGUCAGCUAAACCUGGAGGGGACUCCCGAGACCCUUAACCUCAGAACGGUGCGACAUGAUGUUAUCCAAAUGAAAGGCUCUGCUGUGACCUUUAGCAUUUCACCUUCAGGAAACCGGGACGUGGCCUAUAAUAUCACCAAUGCCUUCACGGCAGAUGGCUUGAAUCUUGCGGAGCACUCCUGCCCGGUAAGUGUUCUCCAGAGACAAUAUCCUCAUCUACGAGGAUUACCUCUUCCUAACUUGGCCAGAGUAGCGCCACUUAUCCUGAUUGGGUCAGACCACCCACAUCUCGUCACCCCGACUGAGCCUAUACGAGCUGGACCAGAAGGAGGUCCCAUUGCUGUCCAUACAGCCUUGGGUUGGGCUGUGCAAGGUCCAGUCCAUCUACUUCUCUCCACCCAAGCUGUACAGUCACAGCAAGUCCUCUUCACCAGAAGCAAUCCAGCUCCAUUCCCCUGUGCGGCCACUGACCUCCUUCGGAAUGUAGAGAUGCUCUGGAAGAUGGACACCUUCUCCAACCGGAAGCUACAGGAGGUCACCCGCUCGAAACAUGACUCCUAUGCAUUAGACCUCCUGGAGAAGCGCACCACUACCACUGAACUGGAUGGCGUUCAGAGGUACGCAACCCCACUGCUACGGGUGCCCAACCAUCCUCUUCUGGCAACCACAACCCGGGCUGUACUCCCACUACUGCGUGGAACGGAGAGACGCCUGUUGAAGAAUCCUGAGCUUGCUGAAGUUCAUAACCGGGAGAUUCAGAACCUUGUGAAGGCAGGCUAUGUCACAAAAGUGACCGCUCAUGAAGAGGGAAACCCACUCAGCGAAUCCUGGUAUCUCCCUCACCAUGUUAUCCAGCAACACGGUGGGAAGUACAGACUUGUCUUCAACUGUUCAUUCCAAGCUGCUGGUCAAAGCCUGAAUGACUGUCUACUCCCGGGACCAACCUUAGGUCCUUCCUUGCUCGGUGUCCUUCUCCGGUUCCGGCAGCACUCUACAGCCAUCAGUGGAGACAUCAAAGCCAUGUUUCAUCAGAUUCGUCUCCUGCCUUCCGACACCACACUGCUCCGGUUCAUAUGGCGAGAUAUGGAACGAGACGCAGAGCCCACCAUCUAUGAAUGGCAAGUACUCCCAUUUGGCACCACCUGCAGUCCUUGCUGUGCCAUAUACGCUCUGCAGAGACACGCACGGGAGCACCCAGACAGUGACCCAGAAGUAUGGGAUUCAGUGGAAAAUGCCUUCUAUGUGGAUAACUGCUUACAGAGCAUCCCAUCCACGGCUGAAGCGAAAGCACUCCUCGAUAAAGUACGGAAUCUCCUGUCCAAAGGGGGAUUCGAGGUCCGACAGUGGGCGAGUAACAGAGCGGAGGUUAUCCAGCACCUCCCACCACAAGCUAGGUCAAGUAGCAGUGAACUCUGGCUAUCGCAGUCUGGUGCUAACCCACAAGAGCCCACUCUAGGACUGAGAUGGAGCUGCAUACCGGAUACCCUUGGGUACAAGCACCGCUCAGCCCUGAGUACCGAAACCCCCACUCUGCGCACCAUCUAUCGGACACUGGCCAGUCAAUACGAUCCCCUUGGGUAUAUCCUGCCAUACACAACCCGGGCCAAAGUCUUAGUCCAGGACCUGUGGCAGACCAAGAGGGACUGGGAUGAACCGAUCCAUCCGGCUGACCUAGUGGAACGAUGGUUCUGUUGGGAAACAGAGUUAUCGGAGCUCUCUGGAGUCCAAAUGCCAAGAUGUUAUGUACCACCCUGUGCUGACCAAGUGGGAUCAUGCCUGGAAUUGCAUGUGUUCUGUGACGCUUCGGAGCGAGCUUAUGGGGCGGUUUCCUAUCUAAGAGUGGAAGAUAAGGAAGGACACACCCAUGUCUCCUUUGUCAUGGCCAGGUCCAGGGUCGCACCCAAGAAGCAGUUGUCAAUGCCUAGGCUGGAACUCAGUGCUGCCCUUUCCGGAGCCCAGUUGGCCUCUACCUUGCGAGCCGAGCUCACCUUGCCAAUCCAGAGGGUCAUCUACUGGAGUGAUUCGACCACUGUAUUGACCUGGCUCACAUCGGAGUCCUGCAGGUAUAAGGUGUUUGUCGGAACUCGCGUUGCGGAAAUCCAAGACCUGACAGAAGUCCAAGACUGGAGGUAUGUUGAUAGCAUAAACAAUCCUGCUGAUGACGUUACUCGCGGUAAAACCCUUAAGGAACUGGCUCAACCCCAUCGCUGGAGCUUGGGACCACCAUUCUUGUCCCAACCAGAGAACGAGUGGCCAAAAGCCCCCAGGCGUGCGGCUCCUCCGCAACCAAUUGAAACUCAUGAGUUAAGGAAGUCCGCCCAAUGUUACAGCAUCUCUACGGAACCAACAACAGCUCUCCCUGACCUAGCACAAUCCCAAACACUGCCGGAUCUGAUCGCCGCCAUAAACCAGACCUCAGAUGGGGUGGCUUCUAUACCCACCUCCCUCGCGGCAGAGACAUUACUCCUCCAGCAUGCACAAGCAGUUAGCUUCCCUGAGGAGCUAAAAGCUCUGAAAGCUGGUAGGGAAGUUGCUAAGGAGAGCCGUCUUCUCUCUCUCGCCCCAGAAUAUGAUCAAAUCCUUGGAGUGAUCAGAGUCGGAGGGAGGCUGCGCCGAGCAGAAGUUUUGGACCCCGACGCUAUCCACCCAAUUAUCCUUGACUCCAGACACCCUCUUACCAGGCUCCUCAUCAAGAGUUAUGAUGAAAAGCUUCUCCACCCAGGGCCAGAGAGGGUCUAUGGGGAGAUGAGGCGGAAGUACUGGAUACUUGGAGGACGAGGAGCCAUUCGUAAGCACCAAUACGCCUGCGUAGAAUGUCAGAGAUGGCGGGCUGGAGCCACUGUACCCAAAAUGGCAGAUUUACCCCCUGCUCGCUUGCGCCUUCUCAAACCACCCUUCUGGUCAACCGGAGUAGAUUGCUUUGGCCCCUUGACGAUCAAGCUAGGUCGUCGAGUGGAAAAGCGCUGGGGCAUUCUAUUCAAGUGUUUGACGACUAGGUGUGUCCACCUGGACCUACUGGAGAGUUUGGAUACUGAAGCCUUCCUCAUGGCCCUACGGCGGUUUAUCUCCCGACGGGGGAAACCCUACGAGAUCCUGGCUGACAGAGGCACAAACUUCAAGGCAGGAGAAGCCAGGUUGGAGGAAGCUUUCCAAGCCAUGGAACCCAGCCUUCAGGAUCAGCUGAUGGACCAACAAAUCUUAUUCAAAUUUAACCCUCCAGGAGCUCCUCAUUUUGGAGGAACAUGGGAGCGAGAGAUCAAAUCUGUAAAGACGGCCUUACGUGUCGUCCUGGGGGACCAAACUGUCACUGAAACUGUCUUGCGGACCGUCCUGAUAGAGGUGGAAGGGAUAUUGAACUCCAAACCCUUGGGAUAUCUCUCUGCAGAUAUCGCUGACCCCGAUCCGGUUACACCAAAUAUGCUCUUGAUGGGACGCCGGGAUGCGUCACUUCCUCAAGCCAUGUAUGCUGAUACCAACCUCGUUGGCAGACGCCGGUGGCGACACAGCCAGAUCUUGGCUGACCAUUUCUGGGCCCGAUUCAUUCGGGAUUACCUACCAAGCCUACAGCACAGAGGGAAAUGGCGGAGGGAAAUGGCCAGCCUGGAAACUGGCCAAGUAGUAAUGGUGGUGGACCCUCAGCUGCCUCGAGCCUCCUGGCCGGUGGGACGUAUCACUAAGACCAUGCCUGGGAUCGAUGGUCGCGUUAGAUCAGUAGAGAUCCAGGUAAAGAACCGAACAUAUAUUAGGCCAGUUGCUCGACUAAUUCCUCUCCCUGAGAUGACGGAGGACGGGGAGCAAUGAGCCUUUCUGAGGAGUGUGGAAUUUAACAAAUUUCCAGGGUGGCUGUAGAAAAGGCCCAUGGAGUUGGUGGAAUAAUCCUUUAAUUCAUGGCCACUUACUCAGCUGGGCCAGAGCGCUUUAAUUAGGUCAGGUGGCAAUGACCGACAGAUCUCAUCCACAUAAAAGGAGGAAAACGGCAUCGCCUGAUCUCGCUGCUUUCUCUUCCUUAACUCCGUCUGCUCCAGAAGUUCUGUGCGUCCAUGAAUCCACCACAGACUACUCAGUAAAUAUACCACUUUAUGGUUAAAGGAA